UCGAAAAGGAACGACCUUUCAAAUCGUUCUAUGAAGAAGACACAUCCUAAGAAUCCGUUCUCUUAGUUCUGAAGAGGUUUUCUUGAAAGGUUGCAAUUUAUCGGUCAGUAACUUAUAUAUGUAGCACAGUCGGCCGAUUCGACGCCAGUUUUCUCUGUACAAUUUGGUUGUUGACUUACUGCUCAUAUAUCUCAUUGUUGAUUUAGUGUUCGUAAAAAGUUCAUGAGGGUUGGAAGUAAAGUUUUUCUCUAUCGGAUGAUAAAUCUCAUUGUUGAUUUAAUGUUUGUAAAAAGUUCACGAGGGUUGAAAAUGAAGUGCUUGACGAAAUUCCAUAAGUUCGUCAUUUUGCAACUAUUAGAAUAUUAUUGCUUCGCGACUUGAGAUCUAUUUCUGAACAGUUUUAAAACGUGUUUCAUAAUUUGGCACUUUACAUUAUGUUGCUUAAAGCAUCAUCCGUUUGAGGAUCACAUAAUUGGAUCACUGGAGUGAAUAUCCCACGGAGAAACAUGAGUGUUACAUAGUAACAUACUACAUAUCAGACGGAGUCCAACCCUGCAAAUUUUCUCUGUCAACCAAUCGAAGGAUCCGGAGGUGAAGGCGACGCUAAAUCUCGGUGGCAUGGAAUUGGAGAUUUAAGGAUAAUGGUAAGGUUGACGAAGAGGAGAAAAAGGAAACGAGGAAGAAAGAUGAUUCAAAAGAAGAAUAAGGCAUAUCAUACAUGUAGCAAUGCGAACAACAUCUACAAGGACUUCCUUUAGUGCAUCUUUGGUCAUGCCGCUUCAAGGAAAAUCUUUAUAUACCAUCGUUAUUUCUCCUUCACAUCAUCAUGCAUUUUCAUUGAUGUCACAUCAUGCAUUUUCAUUGAUGUAUUAUUUAAGUUUGAUGUUGAUUCAAUUAAAAAUCA